ACGACCAGGGACAUUCCCUAACUGUCGGGGAGUUUUGUUCGCGCGGCAGGCGAGUCUCCGUCAGUUGCUGCCUUGCCGUCGCCGAGGUCGGACGUGUCGUCUCGUGCUGGAACUGUAGUUGCUAACAAAGGCUUUAACUAUUUGCGCAGCGCCUGUUGAACUACAUGCUGCCCUUGCUAGACGGGCUUUCUCGUAUCGUAAAUUUAAGCAAACUGACCGAAAGUAUUACUCUCGACCAUGCUAAGGAUCCUGAACAGUCAAAAUGGCGGCUUCAAGUCUCCAAAGCCCGUCUAUUCAGCAACAUCAGCGGCGGUCGCCCAAGCGCCGUACGCUCUCUACCGGCUCUGGGAGGCCUGGCUCCAAGCAGUUAAGGGACGCUCCAGACAAGGCACAUCAGCUGUCAGCGUGCAGGGAACAUGAACACAGGGGCGUCCCUGUAAGGCCAGCAGUGCAUGUUCUGAGAGGCCUUCAUUAUUAAGCCGACCCUGCAAGUUGUAGGUCGGGCUGUCGACAAAUCGUUGUUCAACCCAUUCGGAGUCGUCAAUUUCCUCAGGGUUGGCGCCCAAGCGUGCCCGGUGGUUUGGCGGCUUUCGGGUUCUGCUUCAGGCCGAGGUUUUUGAGGUCAGACGCCCUUGGACUUUGGUGGUAAACCGGUUGUUGCCUAUAGCCGCCGAGCGCGCGUGGAGUCUUCCCGCCUAUCACGGAAGACGGCUCUGGGUUUUUGGUCGUCGUCUCUUGUGGACGUCCAGAAUGGCUCGUCGAAGGCUGCGGUUCUCUCUCGGGGUCUGCGGCCGGAUUCGCCCGGAGCUUUGGGGGCUGGUGGGUUCUGCUUGCAGGCGGAGGUUUUUGAGGUCAGACGCCCUUCGACUCUGGCGGCAAACUGUUGGUUCCUUAAGCUCCGAGCGUUUGCGGUCGUCCCGGUUAUCGGGAGUUCCCGCCUGAGCCCGAAUGCUGAAAGGGCGGCGAAGCCCUAUGAAUGUACGCCCGCGGUAGCUGUGCCUGAUUCGCCCGGAGGUUUGGUGGAUGGCGGAUACUGUCUGUAGGCGGAGGUUUUUGAGGUCAGACGCCCUCCGACUCGGAUUGCGAUACGUUGUUUACCUAGCCUCCGAGCGUCGCAGGACUGCUGCCCAUCGGGUUCGCGGUGUGCAUGACGCACAUGAAUUUGUGCCGCACUUCCUGUGGCGCCCAACUUUGGCAGCGGGCACCCAGUAGGGGCGCGCGGUUCCUCGCUGGCCCGGUGGUUCGGCCGCUGGUGGGCUCCUGUUGUUAGGCGGAGGUUUUUGAGGUCAGACGCCCUCCGUCUUCGGCUGUGAACCUCUGGUGGCUUUGGCAUCGAGCUUGUGAGGACGAGCCGCCCAACUUGUUGGGCACUCCGCUGACGGUCGCCGCAGAAGCAGCUUCUCUGCAGGAAUUAGGAGCGGCACGUCAACCUGUGGCAUACCUCUCAGAGCAUGCGUGUAGCUUGGUCGCACACGCUUCACAGUGUGGGGUACACGUGGGCCAGUUGGUAUAGUGAAGGUGAGAAAGCUGCGUUGGGUGUGCUCUGCGCACGCCCUCCUCGCGCGCGAGUGCUAGCUGCGCUGUGCGGCCUGGGGACGGCCAAUACUGCGACUCGAGCCGGGCCUGUGGCCAGCCAUGGGGCACGUUCGUCCGCGGCCGCUCACCGCGGUCAUGCGGGGGUCACUGGCUUGGGCGCCGUUCUCGCGACACGAUGCGGUGUUGUUGAAUUGCUUCGUGGAGUGCAGGCGACGUCCGCCCCCUGGCCGGUGGAUAGAGCGGUUCGGACGAUGACCACCAUUGGUGCUCUUAACCACUGCGUGCACCUUUCGGACGUUCCGGGCCCUGAGACAUUUGGCUGCGUCUCGGAGCUGAUUAGCUCACUGAUUUUAACAAGGGCCUAGCCAGACCGGGGAUAUUACUCCUCGCGUGCGCGGCGCUCCGUCGCGUCGCUUGGCUCUCGGGAACUUCGGCACGGGUUUAAAACCUCGCUGGUUUGUGCGGUUGCUCCGGUUUCAGGCUCCUGUUUUUCUUCAGCGGUAGCUUUAGGUGGUGUGUGGUGUUUUCAUCGUGUCAUUAGCGGAUGCCUUCAGCUGCAAGCACGUCGAAAGAAGAUGAAGAUCAAGGUCUGCGCUCGUGUGUGUCGUGUGUGCGCGAAACCCCUCAGCCAGGGGCACCCCAGAAGGGGGUACUGUGCGGUGCGCGGGUGUUAACAAACAGGGCCUGGCUGUUGCAAGCGCCGUUCUCGCUAGGACCCGCUUGCCUGACCCGAGGGCGAGGUUACCCGUGGGGUUGUCGAGUCGCGAUGGGCCCUGGCUUGCUUCGCAUAUUCAAAAAAAAAACAACGUUGGGUCCACCUUGGGCUCCGGGGUCGACUGGGGCUGUCGCGGGAGGCCUUGUCGCGCGCCUUUUUUAACCAUUUUCUGUCGGGCGUGUCGGCUGGCUACGCUGUGCCUGGCUCGGGUAGUUGUCACUGGGCUGUCCACUGCUCCGCCGUGCGCAGCGGGCCAAGCGUGCUUUGGAGGGUAGCCGCCGUGCCGUCGCCCUAGCAGCGCACGACACUAGAGGUACACGGGGUGUUGUCACGUCACGAUAUUAGAUCGCAGACACCAGGACAAGUUCACAAGGAGCCUACAAACUGGAAUAGCUCAAAAAGGCCUUUACUGUUGACAUGGACUCCAGCACAGCGAAAGCCGCCAAGCCUCAUCUGAAAUCAACCUUUGAAGGUCCUGAAGACAGAAGAAAAAUCAGGCACAGGCUGCAUCUACAUGGCACCCACUGGUGGAAGAAGCUCUCCAGUGAAGAUGUCAAGGUCAAGUGCUCUACGUCGUCUUCAAGGUCAAGAGCUCUGCGUCAUCGGAAGUGUUCAGUGCCGUGUGGUGGUCAACGGUUUGUGUGCUUUUUUUUUUUCCUCGCGGAGUGUUGUUUUCCGUCUACGGUGGUACAGCCACACUCCCUGGAGCCGCGGUGCUGUGCGUGUGCAUCUGUGUGAAGUGUUAUGGCCUGUUUCGUCUGUGCAAUCAGUGGUCCGAAGCGCAGAAGUCACUGCCCAGUUAGUGUCCAGCUGGAAGAUCUCUCUAGUGGGUGCCAUGUAGAUUGAGGGCCUUCACGGCCCCGCAGACUGUGACCUGAAAGCGAACUUUGUAAAUCCAAGAACUGAACUGUUACAAGUUUCCUCUCACCAACGCAUGGACUUCUCAAAAGCAAAAAAAAAAAACGUCAAUACGUCACUGGUAGAUAGGGAAAGGGGAGGGUCAUCAUCGAGAAGUCCUCAGAGAGGAACUUAUUU